AGCAUGGAUGACAAAUUUUGUUUAUCUAGGUUGUCAUAAUUAAUUUGCUUAGUGGAUUUUCAUAAGUAAUUCACAUGCUAUAACUUGGAGGACAGAACUUAGCCAUGCACUAUGCAUGUUAACUAUGAUGGUACUUUGGGAAAAUGGCAUGAUUAGACUGACUUUAUAUGUAAUUGGUGUUAGAAAUGUACUUCCUCCGUCCGGAAGUACUUGUAAGAAAAAUGGAUGUAUCUAGAACUAAAGUACGUCUAGAUACAUCCAUUUCUCCGACAAGUAUUUCCGGAUGGAGGGAGUAUUUUGUGCUGAGGCUGGCGCCAGCAUUGGUGCUUCCCAGGAUGAUGACGAUGACGUUGUAGAGCUCGUCCCUAGAAAGACUUUCAAGAAGCUGCGGAGGAGAAGAUAGAACCUGAAGUGAAGGAACCAGAGAUGCAGAAUAAGAAAGAUUGUCGUAAUUCAUUGUUGUGAAGGGUUGCUUGUUAGUUUAGGUUUGGCUGGCAUCUACCGUGCCAUAGACAUCCUCUUGUGCCUAUCAUCCAUGGCGGCAACGACAUCGUGAAUGAUUUGGAAAAAUGUAGUAGCAUGGUGGACAAAUGUCAAAAACAGAUCUUGGCUUCAAAGUUACAUUCAAAUAUGUCACUUUCUUUGCAUUCAAGAGGAUUUGGAGCCUCGGUUUGUUGGUGAAGUAACGCUUGAAGGAGAUAUUAAAUUGUUGUUUGUGAUAGCAAGUGACUUGCCUACAACAGAGGACUUUGAGCAUGUCACUGAUUUGGAAAUAUUGAAGGCUCCACCUAUCCCCAUGGGAAUGGCCUGAAGAGCGUUAUCCCCCAUAUCCUGAAGAGAAUUAUCCUUUCAUUUAGCAAAUGUUUUCUCUGCUAGAUUUGUUACUCCUUUCAAGUAUCCUAGGCUAUAGCAAAAGAAGUUACAGGAAACACAAAAGAGGGGAGCUAAAGAUUUUCAGACUGGAGGAUGUUCUCCAAUGAGAUUUAGAAGGAAGGCUUUGAUGUCAAGUACUAGAAGGACACAAGGAUCUUGGUUGAAGGCUGUGAGGAUGUGUAUUUAGUUGCCCACUACAAGGAGCCAAGGCAGAUGAUGUGCCUCUUAAGACAAAUUCUAGAAAAUAAUUUGAGGAAUUUUUGCUCUUAGGCAAUGAACAAUAAUGUUUCCUCU